rnacentral:rRNA from 1 species
GAGGCCUACCAUGGUGGUAACGGGUAACGGGGUGUUAGGGCACGACACCGGAGAGGGAGCCUGAGAAACGGCUACCACAUCCAAGGAUGGCAGCAGGCGCGCAAAUUACCCAAUCCCGACACGGGGAGGUAGUGACAAUAAAUAACAAUACGGGGUUCUUUCGGAUCUCGUAAUUGGAAUGAGUACAAUUUAAAUCUCUUAACGAGGAACAAUUGGAGGGCAAGUCUAGUGCCAGCAGCCGCGGUAAUUCCAGCUCCAAUAGCGUAUAUUAAAGUUGUUGCAGUUAAAAAGCUCGUAGUUGAAUUUCGGGGUUAGUAGGUUGGUCAUGCCUCUGGUAUGUACUGGUCUCACUGAUUCCUCCUUCCUUAUGAACCGUAAUGCCAUUAAUUUGGUGUUGCGGGGAAUUUGGACUGUUACUUUGAAAAAAUUAGAGUGUUUAAAGCAAGCUAACGCUUGAAUACAUUAGCAUGGAAUAAUGAAAUAGGACGUUCGAUCUUAUUUUGUUGGUUUCUAGGAUUGACGUAAUGAUUAAUAGGGAUAGUUGGGGGCAUUAGUAUUCAAUUGUCAGAGGUGAAAUUCUUGGAUUUAUUGAAGACUAACUACUGCGAAAGCAUUUGCCAAGGAUGUUUUCAUUAAUCAAGAGCGAAAGUUAGGGGAUCGAAGACGAUCAGAUACCGUCGUAGUCUUAACCAUAAACUAUGCCGACUAGGGAUCGGAUG